rnacentral:lncRNA from 1 species
CUACUUCCCUAUUGACGCCAUGCUAACGUAUGGUUUGACUCCCAUGUUUGACAUCAUGCUGACGUGUGUUUUAAUUUAUGUUUUGACAUAAUGCUGACGAAUGGUUGAAUUUUCAUUUGGAUGCUAUCCUGACGUUUAGUUUAACAAAACCCGUUGUAUUUUGCUGACGUAGGAUUCAACUAACAAAUUCCCACCACAAUAUUCACGUGCGGUUUAAUUUCCUUUUUUAUACCAUGCUGAUUUAAAGUUUAACUGUCCCUAUCAAAACUUUUAUUACGUACAUGUUUGUUCUAGUGAUAUAUGUACCAUGCUUGGAUAUAUUUAAUUUCUGUUUAUGCCACUUGACAUAUUGUAAACAUGAGUAUUGACACUAUGACCCUGUCAGUAUUUUUUACUUUAAUUGUUUCUGAAAAACUACCUAUCUGAUGAUAUGAUAAUAUACAUGAUAUAUAAUCUAAAUGUGCUCUUUUAUAUUGCUCAUAAUGAUGUAUUGUUUUGAAACCUU